UCCUACGGGAGGCAGCAGUAAGGAAUAUUGCGCAAUGGGCGAAAGCCUGACGCAGCGACGCCGCGUGGGGGAUGAAGGUCUUCGGAUUGUAAACCCCUUUCGGGAGGGAAGAUGGGAUGGGGUAACCCAUUCGGACGGUACCUCCAGAAGCAGCCACGGCUAACUUCGUGCCAGCAGCCGCGGUAAU
rnacentral:rRNA from 1 species